GACGAACGCUGGCGGCGUGCUUAACACAUGCAAGUCGAACGGAAAGGCCCUGCUUUUGUGGGGCGCUCGAGUGGCGAACGGGUGAGUAACACGUGAGUAACCUGCCCUUGACUUUGGGAUAACUUCAGGAAACUGGGGCUAAUACCGGAUAGGAGCUCCUGCUGCAUGGUGGGGGUUGGAAAGUUUCGGCGGUUGGGGAUGGACUCGCGGCUUAUCAGCUUGUUGGUGGGGUAGUGGCUUACCAAGGCUUUGACGGGUAGCCGGCCUGAGAGGGUGACCGGCCACAUUGGGACUGAGAUACGGCCCAGACUCCUACGGGAGGCAGCAGUGGGGAAUAUUGCACAAUGGGCGGAAGCCUGAUGCAGCAACGCCGCGUGCGGGAUGACGGCCUUCGGGUUGUAAACCGCUUUCGCCUGUGACGAAGCGUGAGUGACGGUAAUGGGUAAAGAAGCACCGGCUAACUACGUGCCAGCAGCCGCGGUGAUACGUAGGGUGCGAGCGUUGUCCGGAUUUAUUGGGCGUAAAGGGCUCGUAGGUGGUUGAUCGCGUCGGAAGUGUAAUCUUGGGGCUUAACCCUGAGCGUGCUUUCGAUACGGGUUGACUUGAGGAAGGUAGGGGAGAAUGGAAUUCCUGGUGGAGCGGUGGAAUGCGCAGAUAUCAGGAGGAACACCAGUGGCGAAGGCGGUUCUCUGGGCCUUUCCUGACGCUGAGGAGCGAAAGCGUGGGGAGCGAACAGGCUUAGAUACCCUGGUAGUCCACGCUGUAAACGGUGGGUACUAGGUGUGGGGUCCAUUCCACGGGUUCCGUGCCGUAGCUAACGCUUUAAGUACCCCGCCUGGGGAGUACGGCCGCAAGGCUAAAACUCAAGGGAAUUGACGGGGCCCCGCACAAGCGGCGGAGCAUGCGGAUUAAUUCGAUGCAACGCGUAGAACCUUACCUGGGUUUGACAUGGAUCGGGAGUGCUCAGAGAUGGGUGUGCCUCUUUUGGGGUCGGUUCACAGGUGGUGCAUGCCUGUCGUCAGCUCGUGUCGUGAGAUGUUGGGUUAAGUCCCGCAACGAGCGCAACCCUUGUUCACUGUUGCCAGCACGUUAUGGUGGGGACUCAGUGGAGACCGCCGGGGUCAACUCGGAGGAAGGUGGGGAUGACGUCAAGUCAUCAUGCCCCUUAUGUCCAGGGCUUCACGCAUGCUACAAUGGCUGGUACAGAGAGUGGCGAGCCUGUGAGGAUGAGCGAAUCUCGGAAAGCCGGUCUCAGUUCGGAUUGGGGUCUGCAACUCGACCUCAUGAAGUCGGAGUCGCUAGUAAUCGCAGAUCAGCAACGCUGCGGUGAAUACGUUCCCGGG
rnacentral:rRNA from 1 species